UCUAAUUUCCUGGGGCUGUAUAACUAGUGGAACGAUACAGAGUAGAUUAGCAUGGCCCCUGCGCAAGGGUGACACACAAAUUCGUGAAGCAUUCCAUAUUUUU